rnacentral:rRNA from 1 species
UGGAGGCAGCAGUGGGGAAUUUUGGACAAUGGGGGCAACCCUGAUCCAGCCAUGCCGCGUGUGUGAAGAAGGCCUUCGGGUUGUAAAGCACUUUCGGACGGAACGAAAUCGCGCGAUCUAACAAGUCGCGUGGAUGACGGUACCGUAAGAAGAAGCACCGGCUAACUACGUGCCAGCAGCCGCGGUAAUACGUAGGGUGCGAGCGUUAAUCGGAAUUACUGGGCGUAAAGUGUGCGCAGGCGGCCGAGCAAGUCGAGUGUGAAAGCCCCGGGCUUAACUUGGGAAUUGCGCUCGAAACUACUUGGCUGGAGUGUGGCAGAGGAAGGUGGAAUUCCACGUGUAGCGGUGAAAUGCGUAGAGAUGUGGAGGAACACCAAUGGCGAAGGCAGCCUUCUGGGCCAACACUGACGCUCAUGCACGAAAGCGUGGGGAGCAAACAGGAUUAGAUACCCCGGUAGU